rnacentral:rRNA from 1 species
UGGGGGAUAUUGCACAAUGGAGGAAACUCUGAUGCAGCGACGCCGCGUGAGGGAAGAAGGUCUUCGGAUUGUAAACCUCUGUCCUUGGGGACGAAGGAAGUGACGGUUACCCAAGGAGGAAGCCACGGCUAACUACGUG